UUUAGGUACAUGUAUUAUUCUUGACAAAUUGAUCCAGGCUGAUUAACCUAUAAGCCUCCCAAGUAUUGCUGUUAGAAAUAAGUAUGCUUAUGCACUCAGUAUUGAAUUGUGGAAUACUUGGAGAAUAGUUACAUUUAGAAAACCAAGGUAAAUAAUUUCGCAAGUGGCAGAUUAGUUGAGUUUGGAAUAGCCCUCUGAAGAUAAUUUAUUCCAAUUUACUGCUUGAGCAGGGCCAUUGAGAGUAAUUUGCUGAGUUUGGAGUUGGUCUCCAUCUUCAUUACUCUACCCAACCAGGUAUUUGUGCACGUUGGUAACAUUCCCCCAUGCCUUCUGCAGGCUGAACAAUUCCAUCUCUUUUGUCACCCCUCAUAUGUCAGAUGUUUCAGUAUCUGUCAUCUUUGUGACCCUCAGCUGGUCUGUUUCCAUGCUACUACAUGUAGAGGCAAUGCACACAGCAAUGAAAGCCAGGAUGACGUUGGCCUUUGUUAAAGGGUGCAUUAUGGUCAACUGUGUCCACCAGCACCCCCAGGUCCUUCUCUGUAAAGCUGCCUUCCAGACAGCUUGCCCUCAGUGUGUACUGCUGCCUUGGGUUGUUCCUCCCCAGAUGCAGGACUUGGAAUGUUCUUCCUUGAAUUCCAUGUAGUUCUUGUCAGCCCAUCCCUCCAGACUGUCAAAAUCCCUCUGAAUUUCAAUCCACCCAUGUAUAUUAUCAGCCACACCUCCCAGUUUUGUAUGAUUUGCAAACUUUCUGAGGGUUCAAACAGCACUGGCCCCACUAUUGACACUUGCUGCAUUCCAGUAGUGACUGUCCUCCAGCUGGAGUUCUUGCACUGAUCACAAGGUUUGGAGUCUGACUGCCUAAGCCAGCUUUCAGUUUACUCCACCACACCCUUAUCUGGUUUAUUCCUUGUCAUUUUGUCUAUGAAGAUAUUGUGGGAGACAGGGGUAAAAGCCUGCCUGAGGUUGAGAUUCACAACUUCCAGUUACCACCCCUUAUUCACCAAACUAGUCAUCUGGUCACAGAAGGCUACACAGAGGGUUGGUUUCCACUGCAUAAGUCCAUGCCAACUACUCCAAAUCACUUUAUUGUUCUUUGUUUGCUUAGAAAUGGUUUCCAUGAUAGUUGAUCCAUCACCUUCCCAGGGACUGAGGUGAGGCUACUCAGCCUGUAGUUUUAUGGCUGUUUCUUGUGGGCUUGCUGGAAAACAGGAGGGACAUCUGCUUUCUCCUAGUCCUCAGGAACAUCCCAUAUUGUGAUGCGUCGAAGAGCAGCAGAAGAGACCCACUGCUUCAGCACGCAUGUGCAUCUAUCAGGUGGCAUAUUCUCCUAUGUCUCCAGUACCAUUCAAUAUUCCCUAACCUGAUGCUCCUCCACUGAAGGGUACUUCACUGUCCUUCACAUUCUUCAUCAGAUUCAACUCCAGAUGGACUGUGGCUUUCCAUCUGUGCUCACAAACUGUGUCUGUAUUUCCUCUGAGCUGCCGUCUCCCACCUCUUAUAGUUCACAGAAUCACAGAAUCAGCGAGGGUGGAAAAGACCUUCGAGAUCAUCGAGUCCAACCACUGACCUAACACCGCUCUGCCAACUAAACUCAGUGGCACUGAGUGCCAGGGACAGUGACUCCACCAGCUCCUUAGGCAGUCCCUUCCAAUGCCCAGUCAUUCUUUCUGUGAAGAACUUGUUCCUAAUGUCCAGCCUAAACCUCCUCUGGCAUAGCUGUAGGGAGGCUCUGUCCUCUCAUCCUGUUGCUGGUUGCCUGGAAGAAGAGACUGAUUCUGACCUGGCUACACCCUCCUUUCCGGAAGUUGUAGAGAUUGUAGAGUGUGGUAAGGUCAUCCCUGAGCCUCCUUUUUUCCAGGCUAAACAUCCCCAGUCCCUCAUGACUUGUGCCCCAGACCUUGUUUCACUUCUAAAGAUA